rnacentral:ncRNA from 2 species
AUUUCAUAUGGAUGGACAGGCGCCCUACGGGGCUUAAUAGGGAAGACCGGUGUAAGGCCGGCGCGGUCCCGCCACUGUAAUGGGGAGCGAAUCCAAAUAACGCCACUGAGAUAUAUGCUUGGGAAGGCUUGGAUGAGCGAGGAACCAGAGCCAGGAGAACUGCCUGUUUUAAAAUCACCGU